GGCGGCUGGGGCGGAUACGGCGGCUGGGGCGGCUACGGCUACGGCGGCUACCCCUAUGGCUACAGCUACGGCUGGGGCUACCCCUACGGCCGCGUCUACAGCUACGGCCACCACGGCUACCCCUUCGACUACGGCUGGGGCUACGGCGGCUACGGCUACCCCUUCUACUGAAGAACGAAGUCCCACCAUCGACUUGCAAUCCCGCCCGCGACUCUCGACUCCCCCAUUCCCGCCUAACUGUAACGCUCUCUGUGAUCAAUAAAAAGAAGCUCAAGCA